AUUGAACGCUGGCGGCAUGCCUUACACAUGCAAGUCGAACGGUAACAGGUUAAGCUGACGAGUGGCGAACGGGUGAGUCAUGUAUCGGAACGUGCCCAGUCGUGGGGUAUAACUGCUCGAAAGAGCAGCUAAUACCGCAUACGACCUGAGGGUGAAAGCGGGGGCUCGCAAGACCUCGCGCGAUUGGAGCGGCCGAUAUCAGAUUAGGUAGUUGGGGAGGUAAAGGCUCACCACGCCGACGAUCUGUAGCUGGUCUGAGAGGACGACCAGCGACACUGGGACUGAGACACGGCCAAGACUCCUACGGGAGGCAGCAGUGGGGAAUGUUGGACAAUGGGCGCAAGCCUGAUCCAGCCAUGCCGCGUGCGGGAAGAAGGCCUUCGGGUUGUAAACCGCUUUUGUCAGGGAAGAAAAGGUUCUGGCUAAUACCUGGGACUCAUGACGGUACCUGAAGAAUAAGCACCGGCUAACUACGUG
rnacentral:rRNA from 1 species